CUGCUCCUACGGGGGCAGCAGUGAGGAAUAUUGGUCAAUGGGCGCGAGCCUGAACCAGCCAAGUCGCGUGAGGGAAGACGGUCCUAUGGAUUGUAAACCUCUUUUGUCGGGGAGCAAAAGACGCCACGCGUGGCGUUCCGAGAGUACCCGAAGAAAAAGCAUCGGCUAACUCCGUGCCAGCAGCCGCGGUAAUACGUAGGGAGCGAGCGUUGUCCGGAUUUACUGGGUGUAAAGGGUGCGCAGGCGGCUCUGCAAGUCAGGCGUGAAAGCUAGGGGCUCAACCCCUAAAUUGCGCUUGAAACUGU
rnacentral:rRNA from 1 species